rnacentral:tRNA from 1 species
AGUUAAUUAGCUUAAGAAUAAGCCUAUGUUUUGAAAACAUAUUAUAGAAGUUCAAUUCUUCUAUUAACUU